rnacentral:rRNA from 1 species
UACGUAGGGGGCAAGCGUUGUCCGGAAUCAUUGGGCGUAAAGAGCGUGUAGGCGGCCCGGUAAGUCCUCCGUGAAAGUCCAGGGCUCAACCCUGGAAUGCCGGUGGAAACUGCCGGGCUGGAGUCCGGAAGAGGCGAGUGGAAUUCCUGGUGUAGCGGUGAAAUGCGCAGAUAUCAGGAGGAACACCGGUGGCGAAGGCGGGUCUCUGGGCCGAUACUGACGCUGAGGAGCGAAAGCGUGGGGAGCGAACAGG